GACGAACGCUGGCGGCGUGCUUAACACAUGCAAGUCGAACGGUGAAGCGCCUUCCUUUUUGGUGGGUGUGGAUGAGUGGCGAACGGGUGAGUAACACGUGAGUAACCUGCCCCCUUCUUCUGGAUAACCGCAUGAAAGUGUGGCUAAUACGGGAUAUUCUGGGUCUGUCGCAUGAUGGGUCUGGGAAAGAUAUUGUUUCGGUGGGGGAUGGGCUCGCGGCCUAUCAGCUUGUUGGUGGGGUGAUGGCCUACCAAGGCGGUGACGGGUAGCCGGCCUGAGAGGGUGGACGGUCACACUGGGACUGAGACACGGCCCAGACUACUACGGGAGGCAGCAGUGGGGAAUAUUGCACAAUGGGCGCAAGGCUGAUGCAGCGACGCCGCGUGAGGGAUGGAGGCCUUCGGGUUGUGAACCUCUUUCGCCAGUGAAGCAGGCCUGCCUCGUUUGUGGGUGGGUUGACGGUAGCUGGAUAAGAAGCGCCGGCUAACUACGUG
rnacentral:rRNA from 1 species